AGCGGGGUAGAGCAGUCUGGUAGCUCGCAAGGCUCAUAACCUUGAGGUCACGGGUUCAAAUCCUGUCUCCGCAA
rnacentral:tRNA from 1 species